rnacentral:rRNA from 1 species
GACGAACGCUGGCGGCGUGCUUAACACAUGCAAGUCGAACGGAAAGGCCCUGCUUUUGUGGGGUGCUCGAGUGGCGAACGGGUGAGUAACACGUGAGUAACCUGCCCUUGACUUUGGGAUAACUUCAGGAAACUGGGGCUAAUACCGGAUAGGAGCUCCUGCUGCAUGGUGGGGGUUGGAAAGUUUCGGCGGUUGGGGAUGGACUCGCGGCUUAUCAGCUUGUUGGUGGGGUAGUGGCUUACCAAGGCUUUGACGGGUAGCCGGCCUGAGAGGGUGACCGGCCACGUUGGGACUGAGAUACGACCCAGACUCCUACGGUAGGCAGCAGUGGGGAAUAUUGCACAAUGGGCGGAAGCCUGAUGCAGCAACGCCGCGUGCGGGAUGACGGCCUUCGGGUUGUAAACCGCUUUCGCCUGUGACGAAGCGUGAGUGACGGUAAUGGGUAAAGAAGCACCGGCUAACUACGUG